rnacentral:rRNA from 1 species
UCGAUUCACGCAUGCGAGUCGAGAGGUGUGAGACCUCGGCAUACUGCUCAGUAACACGUGGACAACCUAACCUGAAGAGGGGGAUAACCCCGGGAAACUGGGGAUAAUACCCCAUAGAUUAUGGAUGCUGGAAUGCUCUGUAGUUGAAAGGUCCGCCGCUUCAGGAUGGGUCUGCGGCCGAUUAGGUUGUUGUUGGGGUAACGGCCCAACAAGCCUGUAAUCGGUACGGGUUGUGGGAGCAAGAGCCCGGAGAUGGAUUCUGAGACACGAAUCCGGGCCCUACGGGGCGCAGCAGGCGCGAAAACUUUACAAUGCGAGCAAUCGUGAUAAGGGAACUCCGAGUGCCUGUAAAAUCAGGCUGUCCGCCGGUGUAAAUAACUGGUGAAGA